UAUUCUGAGAAUAUGCUAAGAAUAUGCCAAGGGGUGAUUUGCAAGCUUUUAAAGACUAGGGGGAAGACUAGAGAAGAUUUAAGUUGGGUGACUAACUUAUAAAAAAUUGAAAGUAACUUCUAUAUAAGCAAAAUCAAAAUUUACUUAUAUUCAUUUUAGCCAAAUUUGCUAAGUUUAGAGAGAGAGAGAGAGAGAGAGACACAAGAGAGAGAGAAGAUGAGCUAGGAUUAUCAUGUAGCAAGCCAAGAACAACACCCCAAGAUCCAUCUCAUAUCUUUGAAGAAGAAAGAAAAUCAAAGCAAGGUAUAAGAAUUCUUAAACACAAAACUCUAAUUAGUUUAUGUGUUUGAUUUUUGUCAAAAUAAUGAGUUUUGAUCUUCAAAACUCUAGAUCUACAUGAUUUAGAGUGUUUUAUGUGUGGAUCUAUCUAUUUUAUGUUUCAAAAGAUAGAUCAAAAGCAGGAAAAGUGAAGCUAGG
rnacentral:lncRNA from 1 species